GAUGAACGCUGGCGGCGUGCUUAACACAUGCAAGUCGAACGAGAAAUGGAGACGGAAACCUUCGGGCGGAAGGCUUCAUUUCGAGUGGCGGACGGGUGAGUAACGCGUGGGUAACCUGCCUCAUACAGGGGGAUAACAGUUAGAAACGACUGUUAAUACCGCAUAAGACCACAGCACCGCAUGGUGCGGGGGUAAAAACUCCGGUGGUAUGAGAUGGACCCGCGUUCGAUUAGCCAGUUGGCGGGGUAACGGCCCACCAAAGCGACGAUCGAUAGCCGAUCUGAGAGGAUGACCGGCCACAUUGGGACUGAGACACGGCCCAAACUCCUACGGGAGGCAGCAGUGGGGAAUAUUGCACAAUGGGGGAAACCCUGAUGCAGCGACGCCGCGUGAGUGAAGAAGUACUUCGGUAUGUAAAGCUCUAUCAGCAGGGAAGAAAAUGACGGUACCUGAGGAAGAAGCCCCGGCUAACUACGUG
rnacentral:rRNA from 1 species